rnacentral:rRNA from 1 species
UACGGAGGGUGCAAGCGUUAUCCGGAUUUACUGGGUUUAAAGGGUGUGUAGGCGGGCUUUUAAGUCAGUGGUGAAAUCUCCGGGCUCAACCUGGAAACUGCCAUUGAUACUAUUAGUCUUGAAUAUUGUGAGGUAGGCGGAAUAAGUCAUGUAGCGGUGAAAUGCAUAGAUAUGACUUAGAACACCAAUUGCGAAGGCAGCUUGCUAAACAAUGAUUGACGCUGAGGCACGAAAGCGUGGGGAUCAAACAGG